rnacentral:lncRNA from 1 species
AUCUAAGUGAACAACGUUUUACAAGAAAAGUGUUUUACAAAAAGAUGCAUCUAUCUCAAUACUAACAUUGAAGCUUAAAAUAUGUUAUAUUCAAAUAAUGUUAAUUUAAGCAAGUGUCUUACAAAUGUAUUGUCUAACAAAAGCCCGCUAAUGUUGCAUUUCUCAAAUAGCUUUUUAAAAAGCAUCUAAUGUUUAUACCAUCUGAUAAUCGUAUGUUGAAUGUUUUACUAAACAACGCAUUUGUAAUCUUCUCGAACUCUUAACUAAUGAAACCGUAAUCCAAACCUCCAUACCACCAUCAUCAUCUUCUUCAAUCACCAGAUCAAGAUGAAUAUGAUCAUCUAAGACCCCUUCCCAGUCUCGUAUUCAAAACUUAUCUGCCUUACGCAAGUAGUUCUUUCACCUAACCUACAUCUUUCACCGUCAGACCUUGCCUUACCUGAUUUCCACUAUAUUUCUUCCAUUCCCUCUCGUGAUCCUUCUUUUCCUUCUCUCUUCUUCUUUUCCACCAUAUUUUUCCCACAUCAUUGCAACGUUCUAAAAUGAUCUGCGAGCAAUGAUGUUCAGGAGCAGUUCUCUUACGUCAGGCAGUGAUGUCCUCCCUCUCCUUCCC